rnacentral:rRNA from 1 species
GAGGAAUAUUGCGCAAUGGGGGCAACCCUGACGCAGCGACGCCGCGUGAGUGAGGAAGGCCUUCGGGUCGUAAAGCUCUGUCAAGAGGAAAGAAGUGCAUAGUAGUUAAUACCUGCUAUGUUUGACGGUACCUCUAAAGGAAGCACCGGCUAACUCCGUGCCAGCAGCCGCGGUAAUACGGAGGGUGCAAGCGUUGUUCGGAAUCACUGGGCGUAAAGGGCGCGCAGGCGGCCUGGUAAGUCAGAUGUGAAAGCCCACGGCUUAACCGUGGAAGUGCAUUUGAAACUGUCAGGCUUGAGUACCAGAGGGGAAAGUGGAAUUCCCGGUGUAGAGGUGAAAUUCGUAGAUAUCGGGAGGAAUACCGGUGGCGAAGGCGACUUUCUGGCUGAGUACUGACGCUGAGGCGCGAAAGCGUGGGGAGCAAACAGGAUUAGAUACCCUGGUAGUCCACGCCGUAAACGAUGUCAACUAGAUGUAGGGGGUGUUGAUCCCCUCUGUGUCGCAGCUAACGCAUUAAGUUGACCGCCUGGGGAGUACGGUCGCAAGAUUAAAACUAAGUU